rnacentral:lncRNA from 7 species
GCAUUCAAGGCCAGGAGCAAUACAUUUGCAAGGAAUAAAACCAGCACUUUCAGAUCCUAAGCUAAGUUCCUAGCCUGAUUGCUAAUAUCACAGGGAUAAGUGAGAACACUGGAAGACAAAAUAUGAAACUCCAUGGUGUUACUCUGAAAUUUUCAUUUUAAAAGGUAAAUGGUAUUUGGUGGUGUUAAAGAAGAAACUGAAGUUAGUCUCCUGUAAGCCUUGAUGUCUUUUGAGAUUUCAUCCUGGCUCUACAUUUGAUCAGAACUUUCAUCUUGCUGCAAAGCCUACUACAAAAAGUCAAACAAAAAUGGAAGCUACAGUAGAGUCACUAUGGCCGAGGACUGAUAAUGAUGACACUUCCCACAUCUGGAAUACGAAUUAAGAAUAUUUGUGUGUGAGUUAUUUACUCAUUUAUCCAGCGCUUUUUACUUCAGCCAUUUAUAUCAUUAUCCUACUGAUGUGAAGACACUGUAGCAUAUGAACCAAUAAGACUCACCAGCAUGCAAGUUACAGUUGAAGGCAUGCACAUUUCUGCUCUACAAAGAUAUUUCAUGCAGGGUUUCCUCAUUGGGACAGAAGUUACAGUAGAUUCAGUAAUCAGCUGAAAGUCAUAUGACAUAAGAAAAUUAUUUAUUAAAAAGGUUCUAUUUUCGAAAUGAAGAAUGGAUUCCUUUCCCCUUUUGAACAUAUAAACCAGAAUUAUGAAUUUCAGGAGUCUGAGUCAUGUGAAAUAUCU